CCUAAAAUGGCAGAAAAUAUGCAUAGGACUUAAGCUCCUACUAUGAAGCUAAGCUUCUUUUAGAA
rnacentral:tRNA from 1 species